AAAUUACUAAUUAUGUAUUAAAAGUUUAUGGAUUCACAGAGAUUAUUAAUUCGGGCAAAGUGUAUCAAUAGUUAGUGAUUUUCCCCUCUUUAUUUAGAAGUUAGAAUAGCACCAAGAGACCUAUUAAGAAUAGAUUUCUUGUAGGCCUUGAGGACCAGGAGGAUUAGCACUGCUUUCCCGUGACAGGUUUACGAUUAAACUACAGGCUUUGCCUAUUCAGGUUGAUCGGCUGGUGCAGACGGGGCUGAGCUGAGGCUGGGUACCACAAUGUCUUUUGCUUCCGCUAACGACUAGCUUGUCAUUUCGUCUGUUAAAUUCUCUAAACUUAGAAUUUCUAUUAUGUGGUACAAUAUUAUCUUAUUGGGCUUAAACUCUUAUCCUAUAUUUCUAUUAAUAAAGCUAUCUUUGAUUAUGAUCAGAGUCACGAAACUAAAUUUAUGUGAUCCUGAGUUGGAAUAUUGUCAUUUGAUUGGCAACUCUUAAGGCCUUUCAAUUUACCUCAUUUCAUUUUAUCUC